rnacentral:miRNA from 1 species
AACAGUAAGAGUUGAUGUGCGG